AGUGAACGCUGGCGGUAGGCCUAACACAUGCAAGUCGAACGGCAGCACAGUAAGAGCUUGCUCUUACGGGUGGCGAGUGGCGGACGGGUGAGGAAUACAUCGGGAUCUACUUUUUCGUGGGGGAUAACGUAGGGAAACUUACGCUAAUACCGCAUACGACCUACGGGUGAAAGCAGGGGAUCUUCGGACCUUGCGCGAUUGAAUGAGCCGAUGUCGGAUUAGCUAGUUGGCGGGGUAAAGGCCCACCAAGGCGACGAUCCGUAGCUGGUCUGAGAGGAUGAUCAGCCACACUAGAACUGAGACAAGGUCCAGACUCCUACGGGAGGCAGCAGUGGGGAAUAUUGGACAAUGGGCGCAAGCCUGAUCCAGCCAUACCGCGUGGGUGAAGAAGGCCUUCGGGUUGUAAAGCCCUUUUGUUGGGAAAGAAAAGCAGCAGGUUAAUACCCCGCUGUUCUGACGGUACCCAAAGAAUAAGCACCGGCUAACUUCGUG
rnacentral:rRNA from 1 species